rnacentral:rRNA from 1 species
UCCCUUAUAAUAGAAAGGAAAUAAAUUUUCCGCUUUAAGAUGAUAAUAAAUAUCUCGGGUAGGUAGUAGUAAAAGUAAUGAUUUACUAGCUUUAGCCCGUAGUCGAGACUGAGAGGUCGAUCGACCACAUUGGGUAUGAAAAAAACCCAAUACGUAUAGUACAGCAGUGAGGAAUAUUGGUCAAUGACCUAACGGUUGAACCAGCAAUUAGGAGGAAUGUAAGAUUAAUUUCUAUUGUACUAAUAUUAGUACAAUACUUACUACGUAAGAUAAAGUUCUAGAUGUUAGAGUGAAUGUGACAAUUUUUCAUCUAUAAGUCUUGACCAAAUCUCGUGCCAGCAGUCGCGGUAAAACGUGUAAGACUAGUGUUAUUCAUCUUUAUUAGGUUUAAAGGGUACCUAGACGGUAUUUCUAGCCCAUCAAGGGUACGGAUUUACUAGAGUUUUAUGUAAGGGGAUAGAAUUCUAAGAGGAGAGAUGCAAUUUUACGAUCCUUAGAGGACUGAUUAAUGCGAAAGCGAUCUUUAUGUUAAUAUAGUGCUUUGUUAAAAGUAUUGUUUUGAUAAACUAUGUAAAAACUGACGUUAAGGGACGAAGGCCUGGGUAGCAAGAAGGAUUAGAUACCCUAGUAGUCCAGGCAGUAAAUUAUGAAUGCUAUAGAUUAUAGGUUUAAUACCAAAUAUUUAGUUUAUAAAUGAAAGUGCAAGCAUUCCACCUCAAGAGUAAUGUGGCAACGCAGGAACUGAAAUCAUUAGACCGUUUCUGAAACCAGUAGUGAAGUAUGUUAUUUAAUUCGAUGAUCCACGAAAAACCUUACCACAAUUUGAAUAAAAAAUUAAUUUAAUUUUUUACAAGUGCUGCACGGCUGUCUUCAGUUAAUGUCGUGAGAUUUUGGUUAGCUCCAUAAAAUUAACGUAAACCCUUACUUUAUUUAUUUAUUUUUAUAAAGUAGUUCACUGUUACAAAGGAUAAGAUAAUAGGA